CCGCCCAAUGCGCCGCCCACACCGGCUUCGGUGGUGCCACCGGCCAUGGCUGCGCCACUGACCAGGCCAAGGGACAACAAGAGAAUCGAGGAGAACUUCAUAGACAGACCUCAAGAGGAUGACGGCGCGAUCCUGAGGCUGUGUCGAGAUUGUGACAAUAGAAAUCCGACCAGUAACACGACUUGUGCACAAUUCGCUAAGUUGUUGUUUUGGUUAGGGAACUUAAGUGAUUUUGGUGGGUCUCUAGUUCCUUCGGAAAGGCCGCUUUUAUGCAAAAGCGGCCUUUUUCAUGCCUGCGAUUUAUGUCGCAAAGCGCUCCCGGCGGUGAGGGACAAACCCGCUCGCCACAGGGAUUAGUCCAUUGUCACUCGCCGCUUCCAGGCGAAUGGCCACG
rnacentral:sRNA from 1 species